rnacentral:rRNA from 1 species
CAAUAGCGUAUAUUAAAGUUGUUGCAGUUAAAGAGCUCGUAGUUGGAUUUGUGGCGUACGGUGUGUUCCGGGCACUUGUUGUCUGAGUAACCUGCUGUUGCCAUCCUUGGGUGGAACCUGUGUGGCAUUAGGUUGUCGUGCAGGGGAUGCCCAUCAUUUACUGUGAAAAAAUUAGAGUGUUCAAAGCAGGCUUAUGCCGUUGAAUAUAUUAGCAUGGAAUAAUGAGAUAGGACUUUUUUGCUAUUUUGUUGGUUUGCGCAAGAAGGUAAUGAUUAAUAGGGACAGUUGGGGGUAUUCGUAUUCCAUUGUCAGAGGUGAAAUUCUUGGGUUUUUGGAAGACGAACUACUGCGAAAGCAUUUACCAAGGAUGUUUUCAUUAA